rnacentral:snoRNA from 1 species
AUGACCUUACUUGAACAGGAUUUGUUCUAUAGGCUUGUACCUCUGUAUCCUUGAGUUCUAUGGAGACAGGAAACCAAGCCUGGUGGAUGAACAAUGCGUUGUAGAGGAACAAGUG